rnacentral:rRNA from 1 species
UACGUAGGGUGCAAGCGUUGUCCGGAAUUAUUGGGCGUAAAGAGCUCGUAGGCGGUCUGUUACGUCGGCUGUGAAAACCUGGGGCUCAACCCCGGGCCUGCAUCCGAUACGGGCAGACUAGAAUUCGGUAGGGGAGACUGGAAUUCCUGGUGUAGCGGUGGAAUGCGCAGAUAUCAGGAAGAACACCCGUGGCGAAGGCGGCUCUCUGGGACGGUACUGACGCUGAGACGCGAAAGCGUGGGGAGCGAACAGG